rnacentral:rRNA from 1 species
GUGUCAGCCGCCGCGGUAAUACAGAGGGUGCAAGCGUUAAUCGGAAUUACUGGGCGUAAAGCGAGCGUAGUCGGUUAUUUAAGUCGGAUGUGAAAUCCCCGGGCUCAACCUGGGAAUUGCAUUCGAUACUGGGUAGCUAGAGUUCGGCAGAGGGAAGCGGAAUUUCGGGUGUAGCGGUGAAAUGCGUAGAUAUCCGAAGGAACAUCAGUGGCGAAAGCGGCUUCCUGGACCAGAACUGACGAUCAGGCUCGAAAGCGUGGGGAGCAAACAGGAUUAGAAACCCCUGUAGUCC